GAUGAACGCUGGCGGCGUGCCUAAUACAUGCAAGUCGAACGGGAAGUAGCAAUACUUCUAGUGGCGAACGGGUGAGUAACGCGUUGGUGACCUGCCCGAAGCGUGGGAUACCAAUCCGAAAGGAUUGCUAAUACCGCAUGGAGUUCUCGAGAUUAGAGGCUUGGGAACGAAAGGAGACAUUCACUUCGGGAGGGGCCUGCGUCCCAUCAGCUAGUUGGUGAGGUAACGGCUCACCAAGGCGAUGACGGGUAGGGGACCUGAGAGGGUGGCCCCCACAAUGGAACUGAAACACGGUCCAUACACCUACGGGUGGCAGCAGUAGGGAAUAUUGCAAAAUAGGGCGGCAAGCCCGAUGCAGCAACGACCGCGUGGACGAU
rnacentral:rRNA from 1 species